CGGGGUCGGAACUUCGGUUCCGGCUUACGUGGCGCACGGGUGAGUAACACGUGGGAAUCUGCCCAUCUAUGGGGAAUAACUGCGGGAAACUGCAGCUAAUACCGCAUACGCCCUUCGGGGGAAAGGCUUCGGCCGUAGAUGGAUGAGCCCGCGUCCGAUUAGCUAGUUGGUGGGGUAAUGGCCUACCAAGGCGACGAUCGGUAGCUGGUCUGAGAGGAUGAUCAGCCACACUGGGACUGAGACACGGCCCAGACUCCUACGGGAGGCAGCAGUGGGGAAUAUUGGACAAUGGGCGAAAGCCUGAUCCAGCAAUGCCGCGUGAGUGAUGAAGGUCUUCGGAUUGUAAAGCUCUUUCGACGGGGAAGAUAAUGACGGUACCCGUAGAAGAAGCCCCGGCUAACUUCGUGCCAGCAGCCGCGGUAAUACGAAGGGGGCUAGCGUUGUUCGGAUUUACUGGGCGUAAAGCGUGCGUAGGCGGCUUAUCAAGUCAGAAGUGAAAGCCCGGGGCUCAACUCCGGAAUGGCUUUUGAGACUGGUAGGCUGGAGUUCGGGAGAGGGUAGUGGAAUUCCCAGUGUAGAGGUGAAAUUCGUAGAUAUUGGGAAGAACACCGGUGG
rnacentral:rRNA from 1 species